ensembl:lncRNA
ACCGCCGAUAUCAACGAGCGGUUCGCUCCACUGGAGCGUUCGGGACUCUGCGGGUUUCUGUCCAUGGAGGAGAGGAACCGACUCAAAGAAGAGGAGACGGGCGCACAAUCCCACGAUAGCGGUAAGAAUACGUUCAAUGACUGCAGGUUAAGCUAAAAGUAGCAUAGCCUCAAGCUAAGCUAAGAGUAGCCUAGUAGCCUUACAAGUGAGCAGAAACAGCUUUAUUAAAGUGUGUUUUCUUUGCCGUGUCGUUUACAGGAAGCGGUGCGCCGUCUUCACAACUCUGAGACGAACUACAGGCGCUACGAACCGGAGCAAGGGUCAGAUUUAAAGAAUAUGCUUUCAUUCUGCGGUAUAAGGAAUAUAUAUACGUAUGGAUACCGAUCAUAACUGUACAUGUUGUUUUCACAGACUAACCUCGCCUCAUAAUGAGGCGGUGACCUCGUAUUUGCUCCGGGAAAAGUCCAGAUUUAGACGACGUCAUUGUGUGUAAGUGACACUGUUUCUCCUUCCUUGUUAAAUGUUACUGUGACUUGCGUUUGAUUUUUUUUUUUGUAUUCAUACCACACUCAUUUAAUUGUUUUCCAGCCGCCUGUGUUCAGCCGGAACACUCAUUGCGGGCAGAAGCUGCGAAGGAUUCAGCGCGGAGUCGAGCGAGAAGAAAGAGGGUCAGAGUUUAUUUGCUGACUUUUUUCAGGUGCAUUGAUCGAUGUGUUGUGUCCAUACGCAUCACAUCGCACAGUACUGAUUCAUUGUUGUUUUUCAGCUGCUGGAAUCGAGACAAAGUGUGCUGGCUGAUGACGAGGUGGAACGCUGGAAAUCCGCCACCGUAGAGCUCACGUCGGACGGAGAGGAUGGCGUUGUUGGCGGGGUCUCUGGGUGGAUUGUACGGUCGCCGCCACUUCUGAGUGCAGUCCCGGUUAGAGGCAAGUCAGAAAUACAGAGCCCCGCACACACGAGGCGCCUGCGCAACAGACCUGCCUCGCAAAACACGGCGCCAGUGACGGUCUACAACCCCGAGGAGGCAAACGGACAGUUUACUGAGCUGUAGUUUUUUAAACCGCCUUUACCCAAGUGUGGGCAGAUCCUCACUUUGUAUGUGGUGGUUGUUUGUGUGUUGUUAAUAAAGCUCUUUCUUUGCAUAAACAUGUGGCAAAGUUUCAUUUUCUCUAUAAAUUCAUUGAUGUCCUGGUUGGUAUCCUAAUAAUAGCGUAGUAGCCUACAUAGGAUAACCAUGAAAUGAAUAUACAGCAUAAUAUGAAUAUAUAAAUAUAUAUAAAUAAAAUGAGGCGGGUGACCAAUAGCGACAGAUCUGCCAACCAAUCACGAGUGAUUGAA